ACGAAGGGUGCAAGCGUUACUCGGAAUUAUUGGGCGUAAAGCGCGCGCAGGCGGUCCUUUAAGUCUGAUGUGAAAGCCCACGGCUUAACCGUGGAGUGUCAUUGGAAACUGGAGGACUUGAGUGCAGAAGAGGAGAGUGGAAUUCCACGUGUAGCGGUGAAAUGCGUAGAGAUCGGGAGGAACAUCCGUGGCGAAGGCGACUACCUGGACCAGCACUGACACUGUGGCACGAAAGCGUGGGGAGCAAACAGGA
rnacentral:rRNA from 1 species